AACCAAAACUAGCCCAACCCAAUAUCAAUUCAAUUAUCAUAAUAACCUUAAUCAAAACAUUUAAUUAUAUAAUUACAGUAUAGGAGAUAGAAAUUCUACUUGGAGCUAUAGAGAAAGUACCGCAAGGGAAUGAUGAAAGAAGAUUUAAAGUAAUAAACAGCAAAGAUUACCCCUUGUACCUUUUGCAUAAUGAAUUAGCUAGAAUAAUUUAGCAGAGAGACCUUAAGCUAACCACCCCGAAACCAGACGAGCUACCUAUGGACAAUCUACAAGGAUGAACUCAUCUAUGUCGCAAAAUAGUGAGAAGAUCCACAGGUAGAGGUGAAAAGCCUAACGAGCCUGGUGAUAGCUGGUUGCCCAGAACAGAAUCUCAGUUCAACUUUAAAUUUACCCAACAAACUCCGAAUUGUAACGUAAAUUUAAAAUAUAGUCUAAAAAGGUACAGCUUUUUAGAACAAGGAUAAAACCUUAAUUAGAGAGUAAAACCAGACAAAACCAUAGUAGGCCUAAAAGCAGCCAUCAAUUAAGAAAGCGUUCAAGCUCAACAAUAUAAACCCCUUAAUCCCAAUAGUCUUAAACAACUCCUAAUAUACUACUGGGCUAAUCUAUUCAACAAUAGAAGCAAUAAUGCUAGUAUGAGUAACAAGAAAUAUUUCUCCUUGCACAAGCUUAUAACAGUUAACGAAUGCCCGCUGAUAGUUAACAGCACGAUAAAAAUAUACCACAAAUAAAACAUCUAUCAAAACAACUGUUAAUCCAACACAGGCGUGCAAUAAGGAAAGAUUAAAAGAAGUAAAAGGAACUCGGCAAACAUAAACCCCGCCUGUUUACCAAAAACAUCACCUCCAGCAUAUCCAGUAUUGGAGGCACUGCCUGCCCAGUGACAUUAGUUUAACGGCCGCGGUAUCCUGACCGUGCAAAGGUAGCAUAAUCAUUUGUUCUCUAAAUAGGGACUUGUAUGAAUGGCCACACGAGGGUUUAACUGUCUCUUACUUCCAAUCNNNNNNNNNNNNNNNNNNNNNNNNNNNNNNGAAUAUACCAAUAAGACGAGAAGACCCUAUGGAGCUUUAAUUACCUGACUUAUAAUAAUUCAUUUAAUAACCAACUAGGCCUAAUACAACUUUAUUAAUAAGUCAGCAAUUUAGGUUGGGGUGACCUCGGAGAACAAAACAACCUCCGAGUGAUUCAAUUACAGACUAACCAGUCGAAACAUUCUAUCAUUCAUUGAUCCAAUCACUUGAUCAACGGAACAAGUUACCCUAGGGAUAACAGCGCAAUCCUAUUCAAGAGUCCAUAUCAACAAUAGGGUUUACGACCUCGAUGUUGGAUCAGGACAUCCUAAUGGUGCAGCAGCUAUUAAGGGUUCGUUUGUUCAACGAUUAAAGUCCUACGUGAUCUGAGUUCAGACCGGAGUAAUCCAGGUCGGUUUCUAUCUAUUACAUAACUUCUCCCAGUACGAAAGGACAAGAGAAGUAAGGCCCAUCUCACCAAAACGCCUUAAGAUAAAUAGAUGAUAUAAUCUUAAUCUAAAUAAUCUACUCUCUAAUCAACCCUAGAAAUAGGGUUU
rnacentral:rRNA from 1 species